GGCGGCGUGCCUAAUACAUGCAAGUCGAACGAGUUCUGAUUAUUGAAAGGUGCUUGCAUCUUGAUUUUAAUUUUGAACGAGUGGCGGACGGGUGAGUAACACGUGGGUAACCUGCCCUUAAGUGGGGGAUAACAUUUGGAAACAGAUGCUAAUACCGCAUAAAUCCAAGAACCGCAUGGUUCUUGGCUGAAAGAUGGCGUAAGCUAUCGCUUUUGGAUGGACCCGCGGCGUAUUAGCUAGUUGGUGAGGUAACGGCUCACCAAGGCAAUGAUACGUAGCCGAACUGAGAGGUUGAUCGGCCACAUUGGGACUGAGACACGGCCCAAACUCCUACGGGAGGCAGCAGUAGGGAAUCUUCCACAAUGGACGCAAGUCUGAUGGAGCAACGCCGCGUGAGUGAAGAAGGCUUUCGGGUCGUAAAACUCUGUUGUUGGAGAAGAAUGGUCGGCAGAGUAACUGUUGUCGGCGUGACGGUAUCCAACCAGAAAGCCACGGCUAACUACGUGCCAGCAGCCGCGGUAAUACGUAGGUGGCAAGCGUUAUCCGGAUUUAUUGGGCGUAAAGCGAGCGCAGGCGGUUUUUUAAGUCUGAUGUGAAAGCCCUCGGCUUAACCGAGGAAGUGCAUCGGAAACUGGGAAACUUGAGUGCAGAAGAGGACAGUGGAACUCCAUGUGUAGCGGUGAAAUGCGUAGAUAUAUGGAAGAACACCAGUGGCGAAGGCGGCUGUCUGGUCUGUAACUGACGCUGAGGCUCGAAAGCAUGGGUAGCGAACAGGAUUAGAUACCCUGGUAGUCCAUGCCGUAAACGAUGAAUGCUAGGUGUUGGAGGGUUUCCGCCCUUCAGUGCCGCAGCUAACGCAUUAAGCAUUCCGCCUGGGGAGUACGACCGCAAGGUUGAAGCUCAAAGGAAUUGACGGGGGCCCGCACAAGCGGUGGAGCAUGUGGUUUAAUUCGAAGCAACGCGAAGAACCUUACCAGGUCUUGACAUCUUUUGAUCACCUGAGAGAUCAGGUUUCCCCUUCGGGGGCAAAAUGACAGGUGGUGCAUGGUUGUCGUCAGCUCGUGUCGUGAGAUGUUGGGUUAAGUCCCGCAACGAGCGCAACCCUUAUGACUAGUUGCCAGCAUUUAGUUGGGCACUCUAGUAAGACUGCCGGUGACAAACCGGAGGAAGGUGGGGAUGACGUCAAAUCAUCAUGCCCCUUAUGACCUGGGCUACACACGUGCUACAAUGGAUGGUACAACGAGUUGCGAGACCGCGAGGUCAAGCUAAUCUCUUAAAGCCAUUCUCAGUUCGGACUGUAGGCUGCAACUCGCCUACACGAAGUCGGAAUCGCUAGUAAUCGCGGAUCAGCACGCCGCGGUGAAUACGUUCCCGGGCCUUGUACACACCGCCCGUCACACCAUGAGAGUUUGUAACACCCGAAGCCGGUGGCGUAACCCUUUUAGGGAGCGAGCCGUCUAAGGUGGGACAAAUGAUUAGGGUG
rnacentral:rRNA from 1 species